AACGAACGCCUAUACGGUAUGCGUUAACACGAUAGGCAAGUCGAACGGACUAAUUGGGGCUUGCUCCAAUUAGUUAGUGGCAGACGGGUGAGUAACACGUGGGAAUCUGCCCAUCAGUACGGAAUAACUUUUAGAAAUAAAAGCUAAUACCGUAUAUUCUCUACGGAGGAAAGAUUUAUCGCUGAUGGAUGAGCCCGCGUCAGAUUAGGUAGUUGGUGGGGUAAUGGCCUACCAAGCCUACGAUCUGUAGCUGGUCUGAGAGGAUGAUCAGCCACACUGGGACUGAGACACGGCCCAGAC
rnacentral:rRNA from 1 species